rnacentral:misc_RNA from 1 species
GAUGAAGAACGUAGCGAAAUGCGAUAAGUAAUGUGAAUUGCAGAAUUCAGUGAAUCAUCGAAUCUUUGAACGCACAUUGCGCCCCUUGGUAUUCCGAGGGGCAUGCCUGUUCGAGCGUCAUUACACCACUCAAGCACUGCUUGGUAUUGGGCAUCGUCCGUCGAAAGGCGGGCGUGCCUCGAAGACCUCGGCGGGGUUUCUCCAACUUCGGGCGUAGUAGAGUUAAAUCGAACGUCUUAUAAGCUUGGUGGGACUCCAUUGCCGUUAAAACUUUUAUUUUCUAGGUUGACCUCGGAUCAGGUAGGGAUACCCGCUGAACUUAAGCAUAUCAAUAAGCGGAGGA